AUACUUACCUGGUGCUGGGGUGGACGUGUUCACGAAAGCGCCGCCUCCAGGUUGAGGCGUGGCCAUUGCACUGCGGCCGCAGCUGACACCUGCCACGGAGCCUUAGCGGUGACGUGGGGCAUUUAAUUUUUGCCUGGCGGGGCACAGCGUGCGCGCUACGCCCCGC
rnacentral:snRNA from 1 species